GCCCCCACUUCCAGCAGCUGCCGGCCCAACCUUAGGUCGCCCCGGGAUGUCGGACGCCGAGGAGCAGGAGUAUGAGGAGCAGGCGGAAG